GACGAACGCUGGCGGCGUGCCUAAUACAUGCAAGUAGGACGCAGUUGCGAACGGGUGAGUAACGCGUAGGUAACUACCUAUUAGAGGGGGAUAACUAUUGGAAACGAUAGCUAAUACCGCAUACUAGUAGAUGGACCUGCGUUGUAUUAGCUAGUAGGUAGGGUAAAGGCCUACCUAGGCAACGAUACAUAGCCGACCUGAGAGGGUGACCGGCCACACUGGGACUGAGACACGGCCCAGACUCCUACGGGAGGCAGCAGUAGGGAAUAUUGGUCAAUGGGCGAGAGCCUGAACCAGCCAAGUAGCGUGCAGGAUGACGGCCUAUGGGUUGUAAACUGCUUUUGUAUGGGGAUAGGUACCAUACGAAUAAGGACCGGCUAAUUCCGUGCCAGCAGCCGCGGUAAUUC
rnacentral:rRNA from 1 species